rnacentral:lncRNA from 1 species
AUGUGGUUUCCAGGGGGAAGGAGUAUCAUCAUUCCGUGUGGAACUGCUAGGCAGGGUGUUAAGGACACAGAGGGAAGACCCCAGAAGAUGCUGCUUCUCCUGCUUGGGUGUCUCCUGCCCCCCACCAAUGGGAAAAGCUGCCUCCACUGCUGGCCAGACCUGCCCGCAUUGGUAGACUAUGAUCUGCAGAUCCUUUGGGGCUCCCCAGGGCCACCUGCAGAGCUCUCCCAAAGUGUCCACUCCCUAUUCCUGAAGAGAGAUCGUGUCCUCCUAGAACCCCGAUAUCUUGAUCAGGACCAUAUGGAGGAAGCAACAGCCAAAUUAUUCAAUCAUAUAGAUGAAACCAUCAAGAAGUUUCGAGAUGAUAAACCAUCACUUCUGGAAGAGAUUCGUAUCCAGAAACAGGUGUUUACUGACAGGCUGAAUAAGAUAUCUGAAGAGCUGAAGGAGAGGGAUGGUACAUUUUCUGGCGUGAGAAGAGAAAGGAAGCAGAAAAGGUGCUGGGAAAGGAGACCCCUGCCAGAAUGUAGGUCUCCCGAGGAGGGAAAGCUGCAAGUAGCAAGCAGGAACUCAGCAGUUCAGUGUUCUGAACAGAGAUCACCCAGUCGCUGCCAGGAAGCUAUCUCAUCUCUGAGUUCCAGUAACUGUCCUUUCCCUGACCCCCUCCAAUCUGGGGUGGUAGCAGUUAUGUGGCAAAGAGACCACACUCUGUCUUGUGGCUUCCCUAUACCCAGUCCUUGCAAAUACUUUUCAUUAAAACACCUUCCUCCCAUUCUGAUGGGCUGUAGCAUCUGCUUCCUGCCUGGAAAGACACAGCUGGCACCGAGAUCCUCCCGACACUGUCAUAAAGGGGCUCAUUCCCUCUUUUCACCCUCCCUCUGCUGGCCCACCACCCUUCCUGUCCUAAAGUGCCCCUCUCCUACUGCUCUGGCCCCAGCACUGGUAUCUCCACAGGCUCAGUCUGGCCUCAUCUACUUCCAGCACCAGAGAUGAAGACAGAGAUGGCUUGGGUCCCUAUGUCCAGGUAUUGAACAGAGACAGUGAGAGGCCAGCUCAUAGCUCAGGGACUGGCAGAGGAACAGACACCAGAAAACAGACUUCAAAUCACAUUAAUGGCAGACUUUUCUCCAUCCUGGCCAAGAUGUCCACCCUAGGAACACCCAGGUCCCCGGUGAAUCUGGUACUGCUAGCAAUGACACUUCCUUGACUCUGCCUCUGGUAGUGGAGUGGAGGAGGGGAGGGAGGGCAGGGGUUUGCCUCCUCCUCCUCCUCCAUCCCUAUGUCCUUUUCCUUGUCUGAACCCAAGGCUGCCAGAUUAAAUGGAACUUCUGAGUCCUCCAGGCACAGCUCUUCCCUUUCCCCUCAACCUUGUGCCCUUCCUCACUGGUACUCCCAGACUCUUGUCCUUGGAUCAGGCUCUGCUCUGAUGGGACCUAUCCAACAGCUUUGCAGCCACUGUCAGGACCAGAGCCCUGGUCAGCAGGUCAAACCCUGGGUGCUGAAAAGAAGCAAGUCUGGGACCAGAGCUAAGGACCAGUAUCCCAGAACCUGGACUCGAGUCCUGGUUCUGAUGCUAAGGUUGUAGGCUCCCCCUUGUGAAUCUGUUCCCCCAUCUGAGCAUGCAGGGAGGAUGUCAAACUUCAACCAGGUUGGUGUGCCCUGACCCUGCAGCCCCACUAGGUUCACAUUUGCCAUCUUACAUUUGCUCAUGCUAUAGGUCAAAAUGUAAUGUUCUCAUCCCUUUCCCUCACCUCCAGUCCCUUGAAA